AAAGAACGAAGCUUUGCCUGAGCUUCCUCUUUAUAACUCCUUCAGUGGCCCAUCAUUCAGUGACCUGAGGAUAUGGAGAUUAAUUUACCGACAUUUUGGUGUCUCUCCUAGACAGUUUUGACGAUCUGCAUUCUUGCAUGGCUGGAUCCUGUUCUCAAUAUAAUUUGUUGGAGGAAAGAA